rnacentral:rRNA from 1 species
UGAGUAACACGUGGGUAACCUGCCUGUAAGACUGGGAUAACUCCGGGAAACCGGGGCUAAUACCGGAUGGUUGUUUGAACCGCAUGGUUCAAACAUAAAAGGUGGCUUCGGCUACCACUUACAGAUGGACCCGCGGCGCAUUAGCUAGUUGGUGAGGUAACGGCUCACCAAGGCAACGAUGCGUAGCCGACCUGAGAGGGUGAUCGGCCACACUGGGACUGAGACACGGCCCAGACUCCUACGGGAGGCAGCAGUAGGGAAUCUUCCGCAAUGGACGAAAGUCUGACGGAGCAACGCCGCGUGAGUGAUGAAGGUUUUCGGAUCGUAAAGCUCUGUUGUUAGGGAAGAACAAGUACCGUUCGAAUAGGGCGGUACCUUGACGGUACCUAACCAGAAAGCCACGGCUAACUACGUGCCAGCAGCCGCGGUAAUACGUAGGUGGCAAGCGUUGUCCGGAAUUAUUGGGCGUAAAGGGCUCGCAGGCGGUUUCUUAAGUCUGAUGUGAAAGCCCCCGGCUCAACCGGGGAGGGUCAUUGGAAACUGGGGAACUUGAGUGCAGAAGAGGAGAGUGGAAUUCCACGUGUAGCGGUGAAAUGCGUAGAGAUGUGGAGGAACACCAGUGGCGAAAGGCGACUCUCUGGUCUGUAACUUGACGCUGAGGAGC